UGCCAGACUCCUACGGGAGGCAGCAGUGAGGAAUAUUGGUCAAUGGGCGAGAGCCUGAACCAGCCAAGUCGCGUGAGGGAGUACUGCCCUAUGGGUUGUAAACCUCUUUUGUCGGGGAGCAAAAGCCGGACGUGUCCGGCUGUGAGAGUACCCGAAGAAAAAGCAUCGGCUAACUCCGUGCCAGCAGCCGCGGUAAUACGGAGGAUGCGAGCGUUAUCCGGAUUUAUUGGGUUUAAAGGGUGCGCAGGCGGAUUUUUAAGUCAGCGGUCAAAUCGUGGGGCUCAACCCCAUCCAGCCGUUGAAACUGGCGAACUCGAGAGGGAGAGAAGUAGGCGGAAUGCGCAGUGUAGCGGUGAAAUGCAUAGAUAUUGCGCAGAACUCCGAUUGCGAAGGCAGCCUACCGGCUCCUGUCUGACGCUGAGGCACGAAAGCGUGGGUAUCGAACAGGAUUAGAUACCCUGGUAACA
rnacentral:rRNA from 1 species